CUUUGAAGAUCAUUUUCCUUUCUAUUUUUUAUUAAAGAAACGGUGCUACCUGACUGGACAGAGCUCUUUGACAAACAUGUUCUCUCCCCAUCAAGUCCUAGACGGCAACUCUCACUUGUAGAUGCCAUAAUUAUGAGCCCUUGUCAGUGAAGUGAGAUAAAACUUGGAGUCUCAACCGACCCACAGCUCAUAUCAUGCGGAUUAGAUCCGGCUAUCCCGUUAUACCCAUGUUCUGUUAUUUGGUUUGGCGUCUGGUUAGUGCUAAGAGAAUAUUCAGUAGGCAAAUCCUCCUGCGUAAACUACAAUGGUGUAAGGGUAACUGGACACACUUCCUGGAAUGGAUCCGAAUACACCAGUCAGUACAACUAAGUACUAAUUUUAAAAUGCAAGUCCGAGACCAAGACAGAGAAGUCUUCUAAGUUAUGCGCCAGGUAGAAGAGCUGUCGCAGCAGCAACCAGUAGUAAUUUUAGUCUAAGUGAAUUUGAAGAAGAUUUCUCCAGUUCUGUCGGUCGGCAGACUUCAGAAGUUAAUUCUGACAGAGUUUUAGAUCACCCUAGUAUGUUGCUUAGAAGAAGAAAGGAAGAAAGAAAGAAAGAAAGAAAUUCAGGAGAACCUGCGGCCCCACCACCAACAGUGCCAGCUACCCGAAGUGAAAACAGAGACAUGUCUGAGAUUGACACUUUACAACAACAAAGGCUCAGAGGUCAUGUCCCAUGUCAAGAGUCCUCUGGUGAAUUAAUGAUAUUAACUACAAGGCGAAGUCUAGUUAUGCUUUGGUGAUAAAUAACUAUAUCUUCCUCAGGAGGGAUGAUGUUGAGCGUACUGGCUCUAUGAAGACGUAAGGAAUCUCGUCAGUCUCUUGAUGACUUCAGCUUCCGACACAGGCUAGAACACAACAGCAAACUGG